UGGGGAAUAUUGGACAAUGGGCGAAAGCCUGAUCCAGCCAUGCCGCGUGUGUGAAGAAGGUCUUCGGAUUGUAAAGCACUUUAAGUUGGGAGGAAGGGCAGUAAGCGAAUACCUUGCUGUUUUGACGUUACCGACAGAAUAAGCACCGGCUAACUCUGUGCCAGCAGCCGCGGUAAUACAGAGGGUGCAAGCGUUAAUCGGAAUUACUGGGCGUAAAGCGCGCGUAGGUGGUUCGUUAAGUUGAAUGUGAAAGCCCCGGGCUCAACCUGGGAACGGUAUCCAAAACUGGCGAGCUAGAGUAGGGCAGAGGGUGGUGGAAUUUCCUGUGUAGCGGUGAAAUGCGUAGAUAUAGGAAGGAACACCAGUGGCGAAGGCGACCACCUGGGCUCAUACUGACACUGAGGUGCGAAAGCGUGGGGAGCAAACAGG
rnacentral:rRNA from 1 species